rnacentral:rRNA from 1 species
UACGUAGGGGGCUAGCGUUGUCCGGAUUUAUUGGGCGUAAAGAGCGUGUAGGCGGCCAUACAGGUCCGUUGUGAAAACUCGAGGCUCAACCUCGAGACGUCGAUGGAAACCGUAUGGCUAGAGUCCGGAAGAGGAGAGUGGAAUUCCUGGUGUAGCGGUGAAAUGCGCAGAUAUCAGGAAGAACACCCGUGGCGAAGGCGGCUCUCUGGGACGGUACUGACGCUGAGACGCGAAAGCGUGGGGAGCGAACAGG